rnacentral:rRNA from 1 species
UGAUUGAUGGUGCGUUGCGACCUGAUUGACGAUGGAGUCACCAGUGAGUGGCGGACGGGUGAGUAACACGUAGGUAACCUGCCCCGGAGCGGGGAUAACAUUUGGAAACAGAUGCUAAUACCGCAUAACAACAAAAGCCACAUGGCUUUUGUUUAAAAGAUGGCUUUGGCUAUCACUCUGGGAUGGACCUGCGGUGCAUUAGCUAGUUGGUAAGGUAACGGCUUACCAAGGCGAUGAUGCAUAGCCGAGUUGAGAGACUGAUCGGCCACAAUGGAACUGAGACACGGUCCAUACUCCUACGGGAGGCAGCAGUAGGGAAUCUUCCACAAUGGGCGCAAGCCUGAUGGAGCAACACCGCGUGAGUGAAGAAGGGUUUCGGCUCGUAAAACUCUGUUGUUGGAGAAGAACGUGCGUGAGAGUAACUGUUCAUUCGAUGACGGUAUCUAACCAGCAAGUCACGGCUAACUACGUGCC